GACAGACAUUAAGGAAGUGUUAUGACAGGCAGUGUGGGAGCUGGGGGGGUAUGUGUUACUGUGAGAGAGCUCAGGGAUCACAUAGUACUCAGCCAUGAGGGAGACAGUGUCCUGCUGCUACUGAGGGAGCCAGGCUGAGAGGCUCUGCAGAGUGUGAGGAGACAGGAGAGGCUCUGCAGAGUGUGAGGAGACAGAAGAUGAGAGGCUCUGCAGAGUGUGAGGAGACAGGAGAUGAGAGGCUCUGCAGAGUGUGAGGAGACAGGAGAUGAGAGGCUCUGCAGAGUGUGAGGAGACAGAAGAUGAGAUGCUCUGCAGAGUGUGAGGAGACAGGAGAUGAGAUGCUCUGCAGAGUGUGAGGAGACAGGAGAUGAGAUGCUCUGCAGAGUGUGAGGAGACAGGAGAGGCUCUGCAGAGUGUGAGGAGACAGGAGAUGCUCUGCAGUGUGAGGUGGCAGGAGAUGAGAUGCUCUGCAGAGUGUGAGGAGAUGAGAGGCUCUGCAGAGUGUGAGGAGACAGGAGAUGAGAGGCUCUGCAGAGUGUGAGGAGACAGGAGAUGAGAUGCUCUGCAGAGUGUUAGGAGACAGGAGAUGAGAGGCUCUGCAGAGUGUGAGGAGAGAGGAGAUGAGAGGCUCUGCAGAGUGUGAGGUGGCAGGAGAUGCUCAGCAGUGUGUGAGGUGGCAGUAGAUGAGAUGCUCUGCAGAGUGUGAGGAGACAGGAGAUGCUCUGCAGUGUGUGAGGUGCCAGGAGAUGAGAUGCUCUGCAGAGUGUGAGGAGACAGGAGAUGCUCUGCAGUGUAUGAGGUGGCAGGAGAUGAGAUGCUCUGCAGAGUGUGAGGAGACAGGAGAUGCUCUGCAGUGUAUGAGGUGUCAGGAGAUGAGAUGCUCUGCAGAGUGUGAGGAGAUGAGAGGCUCUGCAGAGUGUGAGGAGACAGGAGAUGAGCGGCUCUGCAGAGUGUGAGGAGACAGGAGAUGCUCUGCAGAGUGUUAGGAGACAGGAGAUGAGAGGCUCUGCAGAGUGUGAGGAGACAGGAGAUGAGAGGCUCUGCAGAGUGUGAGGUGGCAGGAGAUGCUCUGCAGUGUGUGAGGUGGCAGUAGAUGAGAUGCUCUGCAGAGUGUGAGGAGACAGGAGAUGCUCUGCAGAGUGUGAGGUGGCAGGUAAGGCUCUGCAGAGUGUGAGGUGGCAGGAGAUGAGAUGCUCUGCAGUGUAUGAGGUGGCAGGAGAUGCUCUGCAGAGUGUGAGGUGGCAGUAGAUGAGAUGCUUUGCAGAGUGUGAGGAGAUGCUAUGCAGUGCGAGGUGGCAGGAGAUGCUCUGCAGAGUGUGAGGAGACUGGAGAUGCUCUGCAGAGUGUGUGAGGAGAUGAAAUGCUUUGCAGAGUGUGAGGAGACAGGAGAUGCUCUGCA